rnacentral:misc_RNA from 1 species
UAGCAACUGGGUAAAAAACAAUAUGAAAACAGAUUUAGAACAUGACAAAGGAUGUUGCUUUGUCUAGCAGACCAAGUUAUUCAAAAUUAAGAAAUUUAUCCUAAAAGGGAAACCAAGGUCAAGAAGUUCCAACUUUCACAUAAACUCAACUAAUCUCACACAUUCACUUUCUUGAGGAAGACUUUUGAUUCCUUUCAUUUUUGUGUAAAAUAGUUACCAGAGCAAAAUGUUUUACAUGAACUUUUCACAUGUAAAACAUGAUCUUCAUAAUUAUAUCAUAUGAUGUUAGAACAAUGAAAAGUUUGGAUCAUUAAAUUGGGGAUAACUAUAAAAUUUGAUUUCUGUGUUAUCCGCUAAAUGAAGGUUGGACUAAGGGAAUAUGCAAAAAUCAUGUUACUUAAUGAUCAAGGCCAUAAUGGAUUUGUUUCAACUGAUAAAUAGCAACUGAUGCAAAGUUUUGCAACAAUUUGACUGAAAAGCUACUACUAUUUUCAAUGAAUUUAAUGA